rnacentral:rRNA from 1 species
CCCUACGGGGGGCAGCAGUGGGGGAUAUUGCACAAUGGGGGGAACCCUGAUGCAGCGACGCCGCGUGGGUGAAGAAGCGCCUCGGCGCGUAAAGCCCUGUCAGCAGGGAAGAAAAUGACGGUACCUGAAGAAGAAGCCCUGGCUAACUACGUGCCAGCAGCCGCGGUAAUACGUAGGGGGCAAGCGUUAUCCGGAUUUACUGGGUGUAAAGGGGGCGCAGACGGCGAUGCAAGCCAGGAGUGAAAGCCCGGGGCCCAACCCCGGGACUGCUCUUGGAACUGCGUGGCUGGAGUGCAGGAGGGGCG